AACGCACCUUGCGCCCCUUGGUAUUCCGAGGGGCAUGCCUGUUUGAGUGUCAUUAAAUUCUCAACCUUUACUAGCUUUUUGUGAGCUAUGUAAUGGCUUGGAUGUGGGGGUUUUUUUGCUGGCUUCGAAAGAAAUCAGCUCCCCUGAAAUAUAUUAGCUGGUGCCCCCGCGUGGACCGUCUACUGGUGUGAUAAUUAUCUACGCUUUGUACUGUCUGUGGAAUAUCUAUGAGUCUAGCUUCUAACUGUCCUCUGGACAAUCUUUCAAUCUUUGACCUCAAAUCAGGUAGGACUACCCGCUGAACUUAA
rnacentral:rRNA from 1 species